rnacentral:rRNA from 1 species
GGAAUAUUGGUCAAUGGGCGAGAGCCUGAACCAGCCAAGUAGCGUGCAGGAUGACGGCCCUAUGGGUUGUAAACUGCUUUUAUGCGGGGAUAAAGUGCACCACGUGUGGUGUUUUGUAGGUACCGCAUGAAUAAGGACCGGCUAAUUCCGUGCCAGCAGCCGCGGUAAUACGGAAGGUCCGGGCGUUAUCCGGAUUUAUUGGGUUUAAAGGGAGCGCAGGCUGAUUGGUAAGCGUGACGUGAAAUGUCCGGGCUCAACCGGGGCUUUGCGUCGCGAACUGCCGUUCUUGAGUGGGUACGACGCUGGCGGAAUUCGUGGUGUAGCGGUGAAAUGCUUAGAUAUCACGAAGAACUCCGAUUGCGAAGGCAGCUGGCGAGUCUCUUACUGACGCUAAAGCUCGAAGGCGCGGGUAUCGAACA